AAGAGUUUUUACANNAGACAGGAACUGCUAAUUCCCUCUACCGAGGUUAAAAUCCCCGGACCUCUU
rnacentral:tRNA from 1 species